rnacentral:snRNA from 1 species
GGAUGUGAGGGCGAUCUGGCUGCGACAUCUGUCACCCCAUUGAUCUCCAGGGUUGAUUCGGCUGAUCUGGCUGGCUAGGCGGGUGUCCCCUUCCUCCCUCACCGCUCCAUGUGCGUCCCUCCCGAAGCUGUGCACUCGGUCGAAGAGGACGACCUUCCCUGAUAGAGGAGGACCGUUCUUGGGUCAAGGGGAUACGAGUAGCUGCACCCCCUGCUAGAACCUCCAGACAAGCUCUCAACCCCAAGUUCAAGGAAGGUGCGGCCACCGCCAUGCACUUGCUGCCACUGUGCGUCUGGUGCUGUGCCAGGCAGCAUCUCGGUCAGC